UACGUAGGGAGCGAGCGUUGUCCGGAAUUACUGGGCGUAAAGGGCGCGUAGGCGGCGCUUCAAGUCGUCUGUCAAAUGGAAGGGCUUAACCCUUUUUCGCAGACGAAACUGGAGAGCUUGAGAAGCAGAGAGGCAAACAGAAUUCCUGGUGUAGCGGUGAAAUGCGUAGAUAUCAGGAAGAAUACCAGUGGCGAAGGCGGUUUGCUGGCUGCAUACUGACGCUGAAGCGCGAAAGCCAGGGGAGCGAACGGGAUUAGAUACCCCGGUAGUCCUGGCAGUAAACGAUGUAUGCUGGGUGUGAGACUAGCGAUAGUUUCGUGCCGAAGUUAACGCGAUAAGCAUACCGCCUGGGGAGUACGGUCGCAAGAUUGAA
rnacentral:rRNA from 1 species